UACCAGCUCUCCGAGUGGUAGGGAUGAUUAUUGGGCUUAAAGCGUCCGUAGCCGGCUUAGCAAGUUUCCUGUUAAAUUCAGCGACCUAAUCGUUGAGCCGCGGGAAAUACUACUAGGCUAGGAGGCGGGAGAGGUCGACGGUACUUCUGGGGUAGGGGUGAAAUCCUAUAAUCCCGGGAGGACCACCAGUGGCGAAGGCUGUCGACUAGAACGCGCUCGACGGUGAGGGACGAAAGCUGGGGGAGCGAACCGGAUUAGAUACCCGGGUAGUCCCAGCUGUAAACGAUGCGGGCUAGGUGUUGAGGUGGCUACGAGCCACUUCAGUGCCGCAGGGAAGCCAUUAAGCCCGCCGCCUGGGGAGUACGGCCGCAAGGCUGAAACUUAAAGGAAUUGGCGGGGGAGCACCACAAGGCGUGAAGCUUGCGGUUC
rnacentral:rRNA from 1 species